GUGAAGAUGGACAUAAGGACGUUUUUUUAGACCAAAAGUACCGCGACAGAACCCCAGCUUUGAUGAGACUGGUGUUGACUCAGGUUUGUGAGUCUUAUUUGAAAAUAUUUGUUGUGCUGCUGGUUAGUUAUCUUAUUAGGUAAAGUUGUUGGAGAAAGAAAGGGAAUAUUUACUAUCAUCUCACACUAAACAAUAACCCCCAAAUUCCACUACCUCCGCUCCGCUCUGCUCCGACACGAACGCCGGAGCAAAAUCGGUCCCGUUGUAGUCAAUCAGAGCAAUUCCACUACUGCGGUCGUGCUCCGGUCGUGCUCCGGCAGUGCGGCGCCGUGCGCCGCCCUCUGUUCCGGCGUCCGGCAAAAAUAGAAUCGAUCCUAUUUUCGCCGGACGCCGGAGCACCUCCGCAGUAAAUUGACAGAAAUCACAACCGCCCAACAGGAAAAGGAGCAAGCACAACUUCCGUUUUUCACAAUAAAUUGAUAAACAAAAAGCGUUUUUUGUUUCAUAUGCACAGGUUUAACAACUUUUAACAACUAUCAAUGGCAGCUGAAGUUUAAAUGCACAAAAGUAAGCCAUAAAUACAGUUUCCACUAUCAAAGUAGUCACCCUUUGUUGAUCCAAACACUGCUGAUCUCUCAACACAAAUGAUGGGCAGAUUAAACAGUUCAUGCCGACGCUUCUCCCACACAAGGGGUGUUUGGAUCUAACUUCCGCGUUUAUUGCUCGGACUGUAUCGCAAGAUCUCGAAAAUCCCACGCAUGCCUGUUUGCGCACCUCAGGUCUCCGCACCGGAGCGGAGCCGUUGUAGAGCGGGUACCAAGAAAAAUUGAGUUCGGAAGCGAGCGGCUGCGGAAGUCAGGGGCGGACCGGAGCGGAGGUAGUGGAAUUUGGGGGUAGCAGGAACAAUAUUCUGCCCUGAAUAUGCUUAAUAUGUAGCUUCAGAUUAAAAAUUAUGUGGUACAAGACAUAUAUGAUGUUGACUAGUGCGUGUCACGUGUGUGCGCGCGUGCGUGUAUUUGCGCGCGCGUGCGUGUGUGUGUUAAGCCCCGGAUCUUCUUCAGUCCUUAAUCCGCCCCUGCCCCACACACCUGCAAUUCAUCUCCCUCUCAUUCUCCCCAGUGUAUAUAACCCUGUCUGUGUCUCCGUGCGUUUGUCAGUCCAUUGUUUCUGUCAUACUCGUUCUCGUUUGCUCUCCAGUGUUUCCAGUGCUGCUAGUGUCUCUAGCCUCUAGUGUUUUCAUUUGGAUUUUUGGUUUUUGGCCUUUUGGAUUAUUCCCAAAAUAGAGGAUUAUAUGUUCAUCAUCUACCUCCAGCCUGGUUCAUCUGGUUCUCUGCAUUUUGGGUCCUAAACUUCCUCCUACACCGUCCCGUGACAGAGCUGAGUUCUGGAUGUAAAAGAAUUUGGGUUGCGUUAAGCUAUGAAGUUGAUUAUUAUCAAAAGCACAUCAGACGUUAUCUGUGUGUCUGCUUCACCCGUUUUCGGAGACCCUCUUAGUGGAUCCGAAGGUCAGAGAGGUCGGAUGACCUCUGGCACAGAAGGGCUGUAGAAUACCGUGGCACCGACGCUUCAGUCCAGAGAUGUCUCGGGUCACGACAGGCGGAUGGAACCGCGUGUCUGGGACUCUGAAGGAGUCUAAACAACAUCAGCUUGUUCUGCAGGAACUGUUUGCUCUAUCAGCUUCGCAGGUGCAAAAAGGUUUUGACGACGUGUCAGAAGCUUAGAUGGGUUAAAGAGGGUGUUGCUUCAGGUGGCCGGUCUGAAACUUUAGAACUGAGGCCCUGUCCACACGUAGCCGGGGAUCUGCCAAAACGUAGAUAUUUGUCUACGUUUUGGCCUGUCAUCCACACGAAAACCGAGUUUUUUCACACGAAAACGGAUCUUUUUAAAAACUCCGGCCAAAGUGAAGAUCUGCGUUUUCUCUGUUUUGGGUGUCUGCGUGUGGACGGACAAAACCGGAGUUUUAAGGUCCGCAACGUCACUUUCCGCAACAAAAAAUGCUGACAUCACGUGUGCGACCUGUGUUUACACUAGCCGACAGCAUGGAUGCCCUCAGAGCUGCGCUCGCUUUAUCAAUUGUCCAAGCGCUUUUUGCUUGUUUGUUUUUGCAAGCGGAAUUACUGCUCCUUGCGGAAGACCACAGACGAAGGACGAGGUUAAGAACGGGGGAAGUACUGCUGCCUACAGGUCUGGCAUGUCCUUAACAACGUAUUUAUCCGGGUACGUGUGGACAGAGUUUUGUUUUAAAACGCGGUGGUGUGGAUGCAAGUUUUUGGAGGGGCGGAUAUUCGUUUAAAAAAAACCCGGCUAAGUGUGGACUAGGCCUGAGAGAUCACCCGAGAGUGAUCCAGUUUUGAUGUUCUCAUGUUAUGAUUCGUGUAGCCAACCAAAGGUUGACAAGUUGAGGAAUGGUUACCAAGACAACCUCAGAAACACGCCUUCUUUGAUACGGAGGCUCUGACUAGGAUAAAAGACUAUUUAUGUGUCACGAGUUCAACUUAACCUUACUUGUUCUUGUGUGAGUGCAAAUGGUGAUGACCUUGCCAUAUAAACAACAUAACAUUCAUUUCAAACUUCAAUCAUUGAGCACAGAUUAAUGAAACAUUUCAUUAUAUUAUAGUUAUUAUAAGUAGCAAUAAACAAAUGUUUAUUUGACGAUAAUCUAGCUUGUAAGUUGGAGAAGAAGUUCAUAUUGAUUUAGGAAAUCAUUCUUGAUUUGGCAACUGAUCCGAGCUGGAGUGUUCCUUAUGUGGAGGCAUGAAGACCUGACAGAUUGGACCUCGAGGAGAAAAUGUUAUUGUUGACAUUUUGUUAUCUCUUCAGAGCUGCAGGCUCUGAGCUCCAGCUGGUGGGAUGGAGGCAGGCCAAUUUAAAGGGAACACAUGCAGUCUUGCAUCUCCUUUUUGACCAGAUUUUGAAUAGAUGUUGAAUGGUCAAACUGUACCUAAAAACUGGCCACUGCUGGACGUUACAACUGUGACACAUCCUGGUGUAAUUUAUGCACUCAGUAAGCUGCAGCUCGUCGUUCCUGCUCUCGGAUGUCUUCGUUUCAAGCCAGAGCGUUAAACUCUGCUGCUUUUCAGGAAUUUAGUGGCGCUUGCGGAGAAUGAGCUAAAAUUAGCUGUCUGAAAAAAAAACUCAACAUCCUCUGAAAACUUCUCAUUAUGCGAGCCAUCCUCUCAGCGUUUGUCCUAAAUAUACAAAAAACAGGAUGAGGGAAGAAAUGAUGAGGUGAGUGAGAUAACACUGCAGCUGCUGUCAAGGAGCGAGGAGUCUAAAGCCACAAAAACGCUCUGGUCUCCAACUCAGUCAUAGAAACAGCAUGCUUGCUCUGGUGUUAAGUGGAUUAGAGCUGGCUUAAUGCAGCAAGCAGCAAGGCAUCAUCGGAAAGGCUUCACCCUCUCCUGCUCCAGCCCACUCCCCUAAAAACUCCCCACAAUAAUAAAAAAGAGAUUAUUGUUAUAUAAGUUUUCCUCCCACUUUCUCCAUCCCUCAUCCGUCAGCAGAGGUGUUGUCAUGGCGACACCCACCCCUCCUCUGAAACGUCAGCAUCAGGGAGCUGGAGGACGAAGCUGCAUGCAGCUCCCGCUCCUCUCAGAGAUCCGCCGUGACUUCUGCCGUCUCACAUGAAACUGUGAGAGCUGCAGCGCCGGGAUUCGUCUCAUGACUGUUGUGACUGGAGCCAGCUGAUCUUUAUCACACACCAAAGGUGUGACUCAUCAAGCCCAUCAGCAGUCAUGUCGUGGUUGUUCCUGGACUGGUUCGUGCCCCUCUACCUGCUGGUGUCGGUGCUGGUGCUGGCAGGUUUCGGAGCGUGUCUGUACUUCCUCGAGCCCGGUUUGCAGGACGCCCACAAAUGGAGUAACAAAACAAUCCGGCAUCACCCGCUGGUGGCCAGCGUGAACUGCAGAGAUGACGAUAGCAACGUCCUGAUUUGAUGAGGAGCAGAACGGCGGGUGUAGGCAGCAAACCGGCCGGACAGGGGCGCAGGCACGACACCAGUGAGACGGGGGCCAACACCUCGGCUCCUGGAGGAAAUCAUCUGAUAAGUAAAAAAUACCCUGCUCUGUAUCAUUCCAGUUUCUCUGUAAAAAGAAUCUUUUAUUAAUAAAUUCCUAAAAUAUUCCCACACAUGGACGUAAUUUGGGGGGGGGAGGGGGGCAUGGGGGACACCCCCCCCCCCGCUUUUUCCAAAGUCAAGUUUUGACCCCUGCACUUUUUACCAUCCAAAAACAAUAUUACGCUUUAUUAAAUUGACACUGGUUGAGCUCUUGGACCAAGCGGAAAACAACCGUUUGUGUUGAAGCCGGUUUCCCAUUAGAGCAUACUGUAAAGAUCCCCCCGCCCCCCCCCCCCUGACCCACCCAACCCCCGUGCCCCCCCACUUCUAAAGUGAAAAUUACGUCCAUGUUCCCACAUGUAGAAGGACUACAUGCAGACAGAAAUAUUCGGUGACUCGGGAGAAGGUUGCUAUUUAGCGUAUUAAAUUUCCCUCCAUCCUAUACUUGUGCCAACUUUUACAUACGUUUUGUGUCUGACAAUCACUCUACAUUCUUGUGCAUUUAUUUAGAGUAGAGGAUGACUUUGCUGUCACUGGGGAGGGUUUUUAAUCCCCUCCCUGCUGUCGGCUCGGCAGCUGUUGAGGUGCAUGCAGAUUUUUUUUGUGCCAAAUCGGUGCAACUUUUAAUAAAGUAACUUGCUCUGAAAAUACCCAAAGGAUCAAUUCAAGGAGCCAAGAACGUGUCAGGAAGGAUCAAGACAGCAGAAUAAAAGCAGCGUUUGUUGUUUUUACUCAACAGAAUCACGAGGAAACUCUGUAACGAUCCUUGCUGAUCAUGCGCCUUCUUUGUUCAUACAGAAAUAAAACCGUUCAGUCAUUUAAA